rnacentral:rRNA from 1 species
ACUUAAAAUUUAAAAGACUUGACGGUACCUCACAUCAGCCUAGAGGAGCCUGUCUAAUAACCGAUACUCCACGAUUAACCCAACCCCCCCUAGCCUAACAGUCUAUAUACCGCCGUCGCCAGCAUACCUUAUGAAAGAAACAAAGUAAGCUAAAUAGUCACACACUAACACGACAGGUCGAGGUGUAACUAAUGGGGGGGCCCAAGAUGGGCUACACUUUCUAAUACAGAAAAUACGAAUAAACUAUGAAACAAGAAACUGAAGGCGGAUUUAGCAGUAUACUAAGAACAAAAUACAUAGUAGAAAUCAAAGCAAUGAGGUGCGUACACACC